rfam:Oryza glumipatula chromosome 6, whole genome shotgun sequence.
CUUAAGUGCAACCAUAAGUUUCCGCGCCCAACUUUGAUCAUCUGUUUUAUUUGAAAUUUUUUUGUAAUUAGUAUUUUUGUUAUUAUGAGAUGAUAAAACAUGAAUAGUACUUUACUCGUGACAUAUGUUUUUAAAUUGUUUUAAAAAAAUUUUAAAUAAGACGAACGGUCAAAGUUGGACACGGAAAACCAUUGCUGCACUUAAA